UUUGAAAAAAAAAUUAAUUACAAUUAUUAUCAUCAGGAAAUAAUGAAGAAUUUUUAAUUUUAACGAGAAUUAGGUAGAUAAGAUACUUCAUGUUGACCACGAGAUCAAAAUGUUAGAGUUUUACUAGAUACUGGUGUACGAUGCUGAACUUGAAGCAUUACUGGAUUUGGGAAUCACGCACUCAAUUGUGAACUAGGAAAGCGCUUUCAAGGCACCUCGCAGAAAGAUAUGCAGAAUCAGAGAUGGAUGGCAUUGCAACAGCUAAAUGUUUUAAAAUUAUGGAAUUAUAUCCAAUUCGUUACCAACACAAAGCAAAAUGUUGUCAAAUCCGUGAUAGAGCUGAAGAUAGAAGAGAUAUCUGAUGAGAAAAUUCCCCUCCAUCUUUUUGGGAGGAUUGAAUUUGAUUAUUUCACGUGGAUGGUAUGACAUUAUUAUGAAUUCCGAGGAUCUUCGUAUUGUGAAUUUUAUUGCAGCCAUAAAAAAUCUUGAAUGUUUGAUGGUGAAACACUCGUGAAGAAACGAGACGUAGCGAGAAAUUUGGCAGUAAUCUGGUGGACUGUUCGUGAAGACAUACGCCCAAUUCCGGAUUCAGAAAAAGCCCAGAUAAUUUAGAAUAAUGCAGAUGAACUGGCGGAUGCCUGCAGAACAUUUCUAUAAGAUGACUUGCACGUAUGAAAAAUCUUCUAUCCGUUUAAACUCGCCAAAUCAAGGUUUUUUUUUCUUCUGAAGUGAUUUCCCUCUUUUAAUGGAAAAGUAUAGGUAGGUACAUUUUUCAAAACAUUCAUUGUAGAAAAUCAUUCCAUUUUAAGAUAUAAAAAUUCGUCAAAAAUUGAAAAAUGAAUUUAGGCAGCUGAAAUGACAAAUGCUUCGAAUCAUCUGGAUAUGAUUACACCAGUUCUUGGUCUUUCAGGGAGGUGGGGGUGGGGUAGAGUCUUUUUUUUGGCACUUGAAAUUCUCGUCAUAAUGCCCAGCUGUGGGGUCGAAAAUAGCUAAAGAGAAUUUCAAAAAUAUUUGCGAAAAAUUUCAAAAGUUCAAAGUUCAAUUUUUUCAAUAAAAGAGCGACCAGUAGGUACGAAAAAUUGACACCGGAUUCGAAUUUGCCGACCUCGAUCUCGAAUAAGCCAAAAAUUGGUCAUUUGAAACGCAUAAAAUACCCACAUUCAAACGAACCGCUAAACUUUCAUCACUUAGGCUGAAUGGAUGAUAAUGGUGUUAAUAAAAUUGCAUACCUGAUUUGCCGUAAAUACGAGAGGCAUUUUUGCCAAAGAAAAAAACUUAAAUUUGGUAAAAUUCGAAUAGAAAGUUGUUCAGGGAGAUUUUUUUGAGACGACAAAUUACAUAUUAGACAAAAAUAAGCGAAAAAUUAUUUUUUUUGAAAUGUAUUUUUUGCGAACUUUUCUGACUAAUUUGAGGUCGCUGAGAGUAAAAAUGACGUUCAAAUGGAGCGAUGGUAGUUGGAAUGUAUUAGGUAGUUUUUUAAAAGAUUUGGAUUCGUUAAUCUCAAAUUAAAGGUCAUCAUUUCCGAAAUGUUUUUAAAAAGCGGGGAGAGGGGAGGCGAACCGUGAGUCAAAGUGAUAGAUUUUUUUCUGAAUAGGUAUCGAAUUUUAAAAUGAAAUUUUCUCGAAAUAAAAACCCUCAGAGAUAUUUGACCGGUUUCACUACAAGUUCAUCAAGAUGUGAAAUUUUUUCCUCGUUAAUUUUUAAAAAUAUUUCUACUCAUACCUUUGGCAGUUUCUGUUGCAUUACGAAUCAGGGAUUUUCAAAUAACUAAAUUUUGUCAGUUUGAAAUCGAUUCUCAUAAUUAAUUUACUCGAAAAUUUUAGUUUACGAUUAUUUAUUGAUUACAUAUUAUGAUUUUAGACUUGAAAAACGAAAAAUCCAUUUCGGAUAUUAAAUCGAGCAGAAAAAAUUCUAUUUACCUAAUCGUAUUUUCGAACUAAUACAUAUAUAUUGUUCAUUAUAAACUUUCGAUCAUGGUAGAAAUUUUUACUGAUGAAAUAAAAACAAAAAUAAUUCCCUUACCUAUUCACUGAUGAAAAGAAAAAUUCAAGUUUACUAUCUUUCAACAUUUCAACAGUUUCCAUUAAAUUUUUUCAUAAUUCCAGAAUUUUAAAAUACAUAAAGGUGUAAACUUGAAAAGUUAUCUCAAGUUUCAUGUUGCCCCUAGUGACAGCCAACAAAGCAAACUUUUUAAAAUCAUAAACUAUCAACCAGAACUGUAGUAUAGGUUUGGAAAAAUGAGAAAAUUAUAAGGGGAAAUUUUACAGGACGGGUUAGCCAUUUUCUAGGAGUGUGUAUACCACUAAUAUUUUAAAUAGAUUUCCAAAAGUUACUCAUAAGUACUUUUAUUCUAACAGAACCCAAAAACAAAAUUUUAAGUACUAUUUACAAUGACUAAAAUGGUUGUUAUUUUUUUACCAAAAAAGGGAGGAGACGUAUCUCCAGCACCAUGUGCCUUUUAGAUAAUCAAAAGAAAUUAAAAAGGGGACAAAAUCAUUAAUAAUUAAAUAUUACAAGAUCAUUACACUGAUAAUAUUGAAUUAUUCUUGAUUAAUUCAUAAUACCUGAACUAUUCAAGAACAUUACUGAAAACUUGGAAUGAAAUUUUGAGUAAAUACAUAUACUUACAUGAGUGUUUGAGGAUGGAAAAAUGAUCUGCAAUUCACCCUCUACAAUUUUAGUUUUUGUUCAACUCUGUAGGUAUUACUGGCCAAAAGUUAUGAACGUUUAAAGUUUCAGUUUUUACAACUUUUUGAACUUUUGACCAGGUGAAGCUACGGAGUCGAACAAAAGCUCAAAUUGUAGGGGAUGAAUCAUAUAUCACUUUUCCAUUCUCAAACAACCUUUUACUCGCUCAAAAUUUCAUUCUAUUCCGAUAUUGUAGCUGAAUUAUAUUAUUGAUUGAGGUUCUCCUGGUUCUGAAAGCAUUCUGCUUUGUACAAAAGAUUUGGCACCAGGUCAGUCUUCGAUUGAUCAUUUUUCCCAUUAUUUCGCACAUUGUACAAGUUGGAGAAAUGGGCCGUAGAUUAUUUAUAUGAUGUAGAUCUUUCUUCCUUGGAAUAGGUCUGACUAUUGCAUUUUUCCAGUGAGGGGGAGGUAUUCCAAGCUUCCAGAUAGUGUUAUACAUAUAUAUGAAGAAGAAUAUGUGGUAGAUUUUUUAAGAAGGAGUUUGGAAUAUCAUCGCAGCCUGCAGCCGUGUUCUUACUUGUUGAAAGAGCAUAGUUGAGUUCGUUGAAAGGUCAUCAUCGCAGAUAUGCGGAGAUGAGAUUGCAUCAAAAUAAGCUUGUGUCUUAAGAGGUACAAUUGUGCUAGAGCUGUUCCGAGUUAGAUUGGAAAUAAUUACCAAUUGAGUCCAAACGUUUGUUGUCACUCACUACAGUACCAUUGAGAGACUCAAGUGAUGUAAUAUGGUGGUAUUGUUUUCCUUCACGGAGACAGUUAACUUUAUGCCAGAUUUCUUUAACUGAAGAUUGAGGACCAAUGUUGUUGACAAAUGUUUUCCAAGAAUCACGCUUACUUGAUCGGAUAGUUCUCCUAGAUAUGGCUUUGGCUCUUUUAUAAGCCAUGAGGUUUGCUGUAUUUUGUUGGUGUUAAGGGCAAGAAGUUGGUUGCAACACUUGCAACUGAAAGCUGGAGCAGGAAAGCAGGAUGGUUAGAGUGUGCAUUGAUGUGAAGGAUGAUAGCAUAAAGGUCGUCAAUGACUUUCCACUCGAUGUUGGCGGCAAUUAUUGGACAACACAGUGAUAGGUCUAUUGAAGAUUGAGUUCUGUGUGUAAAGUUGAGAUGAGUUGGUGAGUUAGAAUUCAAAAGGAAUACAUUUCCAUCUUCGAGCAGUUUUUCAAUGAUUUUACCUCUUGCAUCAGUUUUUUGAGAGCCCCAAAGGUGAUUGUGGCUGUUGAAGUCACCUAGAAUAACAAAGUUACUUACUAGUGAAUUGGUUGAGAAGGGAAGACAUAACAUUUCGAUUUUUUAUGUCCAAAAUCUGGUUUUGCUCCUUCCUCCAUCAUAAAUAAAAAUAUAACCCCAUCUCCAAUGAUUUCAGUAUACCUAAUUACGUAUGUCACUGGUAUUUAGCACGUUGAAAUUGUGAUUUUUGUCGGCAAAAUGACAUGAUACACCCCCCCCCCCCAAAUAGCAUGACUUCGAUUCGCCUCUGACUACAACUUACUAUGUUGACUACAAAACAUUUCAUAUAUCCUAUAAAAAUUCAUACAUUUCGAGCUCAGAAUAUGAUCAUACAUGGUCAAUUGGUCAUACAUGUUCAUUUUUUAAAAAAUGUUCCCCGCAUUUACACAUGAUCAUGGUUACACUAAAUGUCAUGUAUGAUCAUGUGGGGGACAAUUUUUCAACAUGAGCAUGUAUGGAAACAUCGGGUUGUGUUUUGACUAAAAUUGAUCAUGUAUGAUGAUUUAUGUUCGAGCAUACAUCAUCAUACAUGAUCAAUUUUGAUCAAACACAAAACAUACAUCAUCAUACAUGAUCAAUUUCGAUCAUGUAUGGUGGAUGAACUCGAGCAUACAUGAUCAUACAUAAACCGAAGUUUCCAUACAUGCUCAUGUUACAAAAUUGUCCCCCACAUGAUCAUACAUGUCAUAUAUGAUCAUGUAUGAUCAAGUAUGAUUUAGUGUAACCAUGAUCAUGUGUAAAUGCGGGGAUUUUUUUUAACAUGAACAUGUAUGAUCAUACUUAAAAUUCGAGAAUGUAUGAAUUUUUAUAAUAAAAAUAUUGUCAGUAUAAAAUAUAUGGGAUGAUUUGCUGAAUGGUAUAAGUACAUACGAUGUGCUAAGAAUGCAAGACAAAUGUGGAUAAAUGAAUUUCAGACAUUUUUCCAGAUUUAUAGACACUUUUCUAGAUUAUAGAAUAAAAUGUAUGAUAUAAAACAUGCAAUUUCAUACAAAUGAUCCAUACAUGAGCAUGUGGGGGACAAUUUUUUAGUAUGAUCAUGUAUGAAGUCGUCAUACAUCAUCAUGUAUGGCCAAGUUUGAACUUUUUUCCCCGGGUACUUACCUUUUGGGUUUUAAAACCACCUUUCUCCUCAUUGGGAUGCACAAUUUGCCUUUCAAAACGAAUGGCUUCUUUGAUAAUUUUCUCUACCUUACCCUGAACAAAUCCAUUCACUUUAUUCCCACGUUAAAAAAAUUGUUGUUGAUUGUAGAAUGCACAAUAUUUUUCUAGCCUUUAAUUGGGGCCACCUCUUGAAAAUAUGAAACCAUUUGCAAUAAGGUACUGAAAUGAAUUCAUAAUCGAGAUUAACAAGUUCAACUUACCAUUUCAUCUGUUUAAAAUCCAUGCAUGAUAUUGAGGUACUUACAAAAUAAAAUUUGUAAAUAUUAAAAAAAUGGCGGAUAAAAAUUUGUUAAAAAGUUGAAAUUACUGUAUAUGUAGUUGACACACCGGGAAUCGCCAAGUUUGAGCAAAAACGUCGAGAAAUAUCACAAUUUUUGACUCCCACCUUUUUUUUUUUUAAAUUCGAGCCUAUCACAAUAACCCUAAUUUUUUAACAAAAAUUUGGCUAAAAAUUGACUCUUUACAACACGAAUAUAAAGAAUCGUAUAUUUUUAAUACAGAAUAAUGUUAUAUACCUAUUUAUCACGGUGAAAAAAAAGAUAACUUACCUAUAUCUCGAGAUCUAGGUACUUUCUGCAGUUCGUAAAAAAAUUGUACCAUAUCGUACAAAUAAGAACGUUUUGUUAAUCUUAAAUCUUUUCUAAAUGAGAAAUCCAAACUACAAAAAAAAAAACAAAAA